rnacentral:rRNA from 1 species
UACGUAGGGGGCAAGCGUUGUCCGGAAUCAUUGGGCGUAAAGAGCGUGUAGGCGGCCCGGUAAGUCCGCUGUGAAAGUCCAGGGCUCAACCCUGGGAUGCCGGUGGAUACUGUCGGGCUCGAGUCCGGAAGAGGAGUGUGGAAUUCCUGGUGUAGCGGUGAAAUGCGCAGAUAUCAGGAGGAACACCGAUGGCGAAGGCAGGUCUCUGGCCCGUUACUGACGCUGAGGCCACGAAAGCGUGGGGAGCAAACAGG